rnacentral:misc_RNA from 1 species
AAAACAAAACAAACCAUCGUUCCAAUAUGGGUUGUGGAUCGGCCAUUGGGAGAGUUUUCCUCGUCAUUGUGAAUACCUUAUUUACGAUUUUGGGCUUUGCUCUCCUCGUUAUCGGGUGUUUGGUGAAAUUCAAGGAGGACCUGGUGACGAAGUAUGCCAAGGAACUCUUCAAGGUCAUCAAGUUAGACAGCGCCGACUACAACCUGGACGAGCUCCUCAGCUCCUCGGCCAUCGUCUUCAUCAUCGUGGGGGUGGUGAUCCUGAUUGUGGGGGUCCUGGGAUGUUUCGGCGCCUGCUGUGGAUGGCGGGUAUUCCUUGUCAUCUAUGCAAUCAUCGUAUUCUUGGUUCUCAUUGCUGAAAUUGCGGGAGUUGUGUUGGCAGCAUUGAUGAAGAAAGAUGUGGACUCUGUGGUAAAGAAAGGGAUGAAGAAAUCCAUUGCCGAGUUGUACAAAGGAGAUUUGUCACAGGAACCAGUUUCGCUUGCCUGGAAUAGCCUCCAUAUCGAGUUCGAUUGUUGUGGAGUUGACAACUACAUGGACUUUAUGAACGCAACACACUGGAAUAAAACCUACAAUGGGCAAACUCUGAAGACCCCCCUCAGCUGUUGUCAAGGUAUCGAGGGAGAGUUCCCGGAUAUUCAGUACCCAGCAGACACAACAUGUGCCACAGACCUUACUAAAACUAACAGCAACAAGAAUAAGGUGAGAGAGAGAGAGAGAGAGAGAGAGAGAGAGAGAGAGAGAGAGAGAGAGAGAGAGCACACCAGUUGAUCAAUUAAAUACGUUAUCUAAACAAUAAAAUGCUACAAGUAUCUUUAGUGAUUUAUUCGGGAUAUAAACGAGGCGUCAUUGCAGAAAAAAUACAUAACCUGCGUAAGCGGGUUAUGUAAUUUUUUCUGCAAUGAUCGCUACCUUCAUUACCCGCAUGAAUCAUCAAAGAAAGCAUUUUAUUGUUUAUCUUUCUUUUAACUAAUUAUUAAAUUGAUUAUAAAAAGUAAGUAAAACUCACUAAAUUACUGUUAAUGUACAUAAGAACGUUAGCUGAAAGAAACAGCCAAAUCUUCUCCUGUAAGAAUGAGUCUGACAUCAUCAUCAUGCUGAUUUCGUGCAAUUCGUUAUUUUUAUUAGGUCUCUGUAGGUUACGACCAAUCGAUAUACAGGGUGUAUCAAUUUCAGUCGCUGUAGAUUUCGAUCGACCGAUAAAUGGGGCGUGAAGAUUUCAGAUUGGCUGUUUCUAUAUCUAGCUAUUACACCUAUAAUAGAGGAAAUAAUACUUGGUAGAUGUAAAUAUACUAUAAUGAUAUACUAUAAUUGUAUAUACCUUUUGGGUUUUGCUUUUAAGGGGUGCUAUUCUGCCAUUGAAGACUUCAUCAACUAAAUAUAGCAACAUAUUCAUAGGAAUUGGCGUUGUGGUGGCAAUAUUUGAGAUUCUUUGUAUUGUUUUCGCCAUAAUUGUCUGCAGAAAUGUUGAGGAGGGUGAUAAAAUGGUGUAGAAGUCUGUAGGAAUUCUAAGUGAAAAGUAGACAGUAGAGUGCCAGUAGAAAAGAACAAUUUAUCAACUAAUGUAAUUGCCAUAGAUUAUGGCUAUCAAGCCCAGAUAUGUGAGUGUGUAACUCUGUUUUACUAGUAUGAUGCAUAUUGUAUAAUAUCGGAGUGAAACAAAAUGUACUUCGUGGACCGAAAAACAUGGAUUUUUUAAACGUUAUUGACAGAUCUGAUUGGUGCAGCUACUGUUUUUCAAACCACGAUUGUUCAUCUGUUCAGAAUAUAUACUGCAUUCAAUCUGGGGGUAAAUACAUGUAUAGCUUGCUUUAGUUCACAUUAAUUGUUAUGUUAGAUUUGUUCUGAAUUUGUAAUCAUACCAGCUAUAUGUACAUGUAUUCAUUAGCUCACCUGUUUUAUGUAACAGAAAUUCAUAUUCAUCAAAGAUCUGCAUAUGACGUCAGGUUGUCCCUUUUGUUUAGUAAUGGGGAAUUGGCCGACAGCAGACCUAUAUUAUUCAAUCGAGGAUACAAAUCAUUCAAAAUAGUCUUGAUAUUUUUUCAUUUAUAUUCAACAUUAAUUUGAAUGCGAAUUUUGUUUGUGUUUUUUUUUCAUUAUGAUAGCUUUAAUUGCAUAAACCAAACUUAUUGCAAUAAAACAUUCCGUAUACUG